rnacentral:rRNA from 1 species
UACGAGGGGGGGCAAGCGUUGUUCGGAAUUAUUGGGCGUAAAGCGCACGUAGGCGGUUCGUUAAGUCGGAUGUGAAAGCCCUCGGCUCAACUGAGGAAGUGCACCCGAAACUGGCGAGCUUGAGUACGAAAGAGGAUCGCGGAAUUCCCGGUGUAGAGGUGAAAUUCGUAGAUAGUCGGGAAGGAACACCGGUGGCGAAGG